AACGAACGCUGGCGGCAUGCUUAACACAUGCAAGUCGAACGAGGUCACUGGGGCUUGCCCUGGUGGUUUAGUGGCGCACGGGUGAGUAGCGCGUGGGAACCUGCCCAGUAGUGGGGGAUAACCGAUGGAAACGUCGGCUAAUACCGCAUGCGCCCCGGGGCAACUCGGGGGAAAGAUUUAUCGCUAUUGGAGGGGCCCGCGUCGGAUUAGCUAGUUGGUGGGGUAAAGGCCUACCAAGGCGAUGAUCCGUAGCUGGUCUGAGAGGAUGAU
rnacentral:rRNA from 1 species